rnacentral:rRNA from 1 species
AUAAGGGCAUUCGGUGGAUGCCUUGGCACCAGGAGGCGAUGAAGGACGUAGCACGCUGCGAAAAGCUACGGGGAGCCGCGAGCAGGCUUUGAUCCGUAGAUAUCCGAAUGGGGCAACCCACCCGCAAGGGUAUCGUAGUCUGAAUACAUAGGACUAUGAGGCGAACCCGGGGAACUGAAACAUCUCAGUACCUGGAGGAAAAGACAUCAAUUGAGAUUCUGCUAGUAGUGGCGAGCGAACGCGGAACAGGCCAGUGGUCUUUGGAAGAGAAGCAGAACACUCUGGAAAGGGUGGCCAUAGUGGGUGAUAGUCCCGUAUGCGUAGCGCUUCUAAAGAUCCUUGAGUAGGGCGGGGCACGUGAAACCCUGUCUGAACAUGGGGGGACCACCCUCCAAGCCUAAAUACUCCCUGGUGACCGAUAGUGAACAAGUACCGUGAGGGAAAGGUGAAAAGCACCCCGAUGAGGGGAGUGAAAUAGACCUGAAACCGAAUGCCUACAAGCAGUCGGAGCCUCUUAUGGGGUGACGGCGUACCUUUUGUAUAAUGGGUCAGCGAGUUUCUGUUUGCAGCAAGCUUAAGCCGGUAGGUGUAGGCGUAGCGAAAGCGAGUCUGAAUAGGGCGUCUAGUUGCUGGCAGAAGACCCGAAACCGAGUGAUCUAGCCAUGGCCAGGCUGAAGGUGCGGUAACACGCACUGGAGGGCCGAACCCACGCCUGUUGAAAAAGUCGGGGAUGAGCUGUGGCUAGGGGUGAAAGGCCAAUCAAACUCGGAAAUAGCUGGUUCUCCGCGAAAUCUAUUGAGGUAGACCGUCAGGUAUUUACCCCGGGGGGUAGAGCACUGGAUGGGCUAGGGGGGCCCAAAGCCUUACCAAACCUAACCAAACUCCGAAUACCCGGAAGUAUUAGCCUGGCAGACAGACAGUGGGUGCUAAGGUCCAUUGUCGAGAGGGAAACAGCCCAGACCACCAGCUAAGGCCCCUAAAUCGUGGCUAAGUGGGAAAGGAUGUGGGGAUUCCAAAACAACCAGGAGGUUGGCUUAGAAGCAGCCAUCCUUUAAAGAAAGCGUAAUAGCUCACUGGUCUAAUAGAAACCCUGCGCCGAAAAUGUAACGGGGCUCAAGCCACGUGCCGAAGCUGUGGGUGCAUACUAUGUAUGCGCGGUAGCGGAGCGUUCCGUAGGUCUGUGAAGGAAGCGGGGUGACCCCUUCUGGAGAUAUCGGAAGUGCGAAUGCUGACAUGAGUAGCGACAAACAGUGCGAGAAACACUGUCGCCGAAAGUCCAAGGGUUCCUGCGCAAGGUUAAUCCACGCAGGGUUAGUCGGCCCCUAAGGCGAGGGCGAAAGCCGUAGUCGAUGGGAAUCAGGUGAAUAUUCCUGAACCUGCCAGAAGUGACGAAUGCAAUAUGUUGUCAGUCCUUAUCGGAUUGGACUGGCUUUUGGCGCAUUCCAGGAAAUAGCUCUGGCGUAUAGACCGUACCCGAAACCGACACAGGUGGACUGGUAGAGAAUACCAAGGCGCUUGAGAGAACGAUGCUGAAGGAACUAGGCAAAUUACUCGUGUAACUUCGGGAUAAGCGAGACCCGUUGGUGGGCAACCAUCGGCGGGUGGCACAGACCAGGGGGUAGCGACUGUUUAGUAAAAACACAGGGCUCUGCGAAGUCGAAAGACGACGUAUAGGGCCUGACGCCUGCCCGGUGCCGGAAGGUUAAGAGGAGGUGUGAGAGCACUGAAUUGAAGCCCCGGUAAACGGCGGCCGUAACUAUAACGGUCCUAAGGUAGCGAAAUUCCUUGUCGGGUAAGUUCCGACCUGCACGAAUGGCGUAA